rnacentral:rRNA from 1 species
UACGGAGGGUGCGAGCGUUGUCCGGAAUCAUUGGGCGUAAAGGGCGCGUAGGCGGCCUGUUAAGUCGAACGUGAAAUCCCCGGGCUCAACCCGGGAACUGCGUCCGAUACUGGCAGGCUUGAAUCCGGGAGAGGGAUGCGGAAUUCCAGGUGUAGCGGUGAAAUGCGUAGAUAUCUGGAGGAACACCGGUGGCGAAGGCGGCGUUCUGGACUGUUACUGACACUGAGGAACGAAAGCCAGGGGAGCAAACGGG